UAGGGAAUAUUGGACAAUGGGGGCAACCCUGAUCCAGCAAUGCCGCGUGAGUGAUGAAGGCCUUAGGGUUGUAAAGCUCUUUUACCCGGGAUGAUAAUGACAGUACCGGGAGAAUAAGCUCCGGCUAACUCCGUG
rnacentral:rRNA from 1 species